UGGUAAUAGUGACACAGUCCUAAUUUUUGUAUCGCUGAAGAAUCUACAUGUGAGAUCAGAUAUGUGUGAAGAAUUGCAAAAUCCAAAGAAUUGAUGUAACGGAUUGACUGUUGAUGCCCCUGACGGUUUGUUUGUUAUUGGCCACAGCUGCUGUAUGUUCUUAAUGUGGGCUUUAUAGGGAUUUUCAACAACAAGGUCCAUUGCUGUUGUCAGUGAGUUGUGUUUUCGUAAGCUGUCGAAGGCAAUUUUACUUGUUAUUGA